CGCUUCCUACGGGGGGCAGCAGUGAGGAAUAUUGGUCAAUGGGCGAGAGCCUGAACCAGCCAAGUCGCGUGAGGGAAGACGGUCCUAUGGAUUGUAAACCUCCUUUGCCGGGGAGCAAAAAGCGGUACGUGUACCGCAUCGAGAGUACCCGGAGAAAAAGCAUCGGCUAACUCCGUGCCAGCAGCCGCGGUAAUACGGAGGAUGCGAGCGUUAUCCGGAUUUAUUGGGUUUAAAGGGUGCGUAGGCGGGACCUUAAGUCAGCGGUAAAAUUGCGGUGCUCAACGCCGUAGAGCCGUUGAAACUGG
rnacentral:rRNA from 1 species